GUAAUAAUUUUUCUUUCUUCUUGUCCUCGUUUUUAUCACUUCCAGGCUUCCGGCGUUUGAGUGAGAGAGAGAGAGAGAGAGAGAGAGAGAGACAGAACGGGAGAAGAAGACGAAGAGGCAGAGAAGAAGAAGAAAAGCUACGACACUCCAUCUCUCCGAUCCCCGCUGAACGUCACAGUUUGAUAGAGCGUGUAGAUUAUCGGGUAUGGCGUUUAUGAGGGGAGAGCCGCUGGUGGCGAAGCUUGCAGUGAUUGCAAAGUACGGGGUGCUUCCUGGAGCCAUGAUCGCUGCGCUGAUCUACUCUCCUCCGGACUAUUCCAAGAAACACGAUCACGCUUCCUCGUCCAAGUAGGUAUGGCUUCUUUUGACUGCUACAAGGUAUAUGAUAUCUUUGGAGCUUUGUUGGGAUUUGAUGGAUGGUUUUGGUAUGCAAUAACUGUGAUGGCUGUAUUCCAUAUGUAGGCAUAUGGUGAUUUGAAUUUGUUCUGUUCCUUUGUAGAAUUUUGAACAGCUCUUUGUGAUGUUUACCAUCAAUUUGGAUUUGAGUUUGACGAAUGUAAGUUCCGCUUAAUCCCAUCGUGGACCGUAUGAAGCUUAGUAUGUGAAUGUUCACUAA